UUGUAGCAGCCAAAUAACACUAGACCCUACUCAUAAUUGUGUGUUCCUGCCGGUGAGUAAGGUUGCCUGAGCUCAACGAGGGUGCGGCUUGUUAGGGUCGGCAACGCGCAUGUAACACCUCUGGUGUUGCAGGCGUCCAUAGGCUACGGUAACUGCUUACCACCAAGCGGGCCGUAUUAUUGUUUGCCGCAAACGAAGUGUAUAAAUAAA